UAGCCAAGUGGAUUAAGGCAGUGG
rnacentral:tRNA from 1 species